rnacentral:lncRNA from 1 species
GCUCAAAUAUCCAAAUAUAUUUAUUAAUUUUUUCAUGACCAUCCAAAAUUUUCAUGACACAAUAUUAAUUAACAUGACAUUUCAUAACUAAGUAUUUUUACUACAACAUAAGAAUUACAUGUUCUCACAUAUACUCUGAACCUUAUACCUACUUACGUAAUAAUGAAUUUCAUAAUUAUUACAUUAUUUUUAUCAUUCUCCUAAACAUUUUAACAUAGGAAAAAUAAAAGAAACCAAUGGUACUUCUUUGGAUGCUCUAAAAACACAUAAUUAAUCUUCCUAACCUUGAUUCCGUGCUCAUCUAAUAUUGGAAGCUCCUCCAUUCUCAACAUGUUCUCAUUAACCAUACAUUAAAAAUAUACCAAAAUAUUUAUAUAAUACCUUUCUAAACUUUCUCAUAGCAUUUAAACUCAAAUGUCAUGAGAAAAGAGGUGGAAAUUUUCAUUACUUACAAUUUUGAAGUUUUCUCUCACUAAAACCCAUGAUAACCCAACUUGAAUAAUGAAGUUAAUGGAGGAAAUGAGAUUGGAAUCAAGUUUCGUAUUUGAUUUUAUCAAGAAAUUAAAGUUUGGAUGCUUGGAAAUGGUUUGAUUUGAGAGAAAAGCAUCAGAGAUGAGGAAGAAACGAAAAGAGGGGGGUUAUCUUCAUCCCCGAAGUGAACGGCUGGUUGGGGGAAGAGUGGAGAUAAUUUUACACUCUUCUUCCCCC